CGAGCCCUUGGACUUAAAGAAGAAGAAGAUCCCCCGGUGUUUUUGUAUUUUUUGUAUUUUUUUUCUACGUUUUAACAUGAAGUGAAAAAUGAUAAC
rnacentral:ribozyme from 14 species